rnacentral:lncRNA from 1 species
CCAUGCCCUUUGCCUCCCUCAGCUUUGCAGGGAGAGGCAGGGUUGGGGAGUGUUUCAGCACAGCACAAAGCUGGUUCCUGCUGGAAAAGCCUGACCCUGGUGCCUCCUCCCAUCUGUGCCUGCUCUUUCACAGCCAGAUUUCUUGAAAGCAGCAUCUACAUUUGCUGCGCCCCUACCCCCACCCUGAAUGCCCCCACCUCUGGGAGCCACUGGCUGUCUGGUCCUUGCCUUCCUGGCUGGGCCUCAUUUGCCCCCUCACUUUGGUGCCUCUCAGGCUCCUGGGUCUCACUCUGGCCCCUUAUUCCCAGCCUUUACCUUGGGUUCUGCUGCCUCUUCUGUCCUUGGGCUCGUCCUACAAGCUUUUCUGUGUUGCUUCCACGAGGAGAGAGGCAGGAGACAAGAGCACUUCGGGGAGUUGUCAUAAGCAGGGGCGUGGCUGUCCCCAGGCCUCCUCAGUUGGGGAUCAAGUGCAUUAUCUUGGGGUCCUCUCUGUGUCAUCAUAGUCUCUCUGGAACACCAAGGGCCGCAUAAACACGGUAGGAAUGGUUGAUGGUUCCCUGGUUUCAUAAAACCUCUCAGGAACAUUAGACUAUGUCCGUGAGAGAAGUAAAACCCAAUUAUCCUCAGUGCCAGUAGUUUUUAUGUUUCAGAAGAGAUUCUGCUGGAAGGAUCACUGGGCAUUUCAAGAUGUUUGGAAACACUGCACUGAUGGAGUUAUCCUCAGUGGGGUGUCAUUAAAUGUUUGUUUACGAUUGUUGGUGGGUCUAUCAAACCCACUUAGUCCUGCCAGUGUUAGAUUUUUGACUCAAUUAGGAAAAAAAAAGUAUUAGAGGGAACUAACUUUGCAGCAAAGGGCAGAUACUCUUAGGUACUGAAAACUUGCUGAAUUCUGUAGGAAUAGGAACCUUGGGAAUUAUGCUUCCGUAGGAGAAAUAAUCAGAAAGGUCAUUUUAGUCACUUAGUAGUCUGUGGUGCCACUGGAAUAAUUAAAAACAUGAUAAUUUAAACUGACUGUAGAGGUAAUGGAAGAAACAUGAAAUUUAGUUAGACUAGGGUAGUUGAGUUUGUUCAAAAAUCAAAUGGAAAUCUUAGGGCACUACGGGAGCAGUUGAGAGUUGAUCACAGCUGAGCAAGGCUGGUCUUCUUCCUGCAGGUCCCGGCACCUUUGAGGAUCUGACAAAGGCUGGCUGUCUUCUCUCAAGACAACGGCACGGGACCCCCAGUGCCAGGAGGCCCCCAGAGCUACGGCACAGGUGGGAAUGUCACCAGCCACUGAGCGCUUGCGAGUGUUUUACCACCAGGCCCAUGACUGAUGCUUGGUGUUGGGUGGCUAUGAGUUGACACCAUCUGGUAUCUUUUCAGUGCAAAACAGAGAGACUAGUCAAAACAUAAGAUGACAAGAGGCAGAAGUGAGAGUCUUGGGAGAAGAGAGGGGAGAUGGGAUGAUGGGGAGAGUGGAGGGCGAGGGUCCACUCUGAGGUCUUCAGGACACCUUCCUACUUCACACGGGAGGGGCAGGGUCCAUCUCCCU